ensembl:snRNA U6 U6 spliceosomal RNA
AUGCUCAAUUGGGCAGCACACAUACUAAAAUUGGACCGAUACAGAGAAGAUUAGUACGGCCCCGGCACAAGGAUGACAAGCAAAUUCGUGAAGUGUUCCAUGUGUUA